GACGAACGCUGGCGGCGUGCUUAACACAUGCAAGUGGAGCGACGAACCAGGGCUUGCCCUGGGGCAGAGCCGCGAACGGGUGAGUAACACGUGGGUAACCUGCCUCGAUGAUCGGGACAACCCGGGGAAACCCGGGCUAAUACCGAAUGUGCUCCGACCACAUCAGUGGACGGCGUAAAGGAAGCUUCGGCCUCCGCAUCGAGAUGGGCCCGCGGCCCAUUAGCUUGUUGGUGGGGUAAAGGCCCACCAAGGCUUCGAUGGGUAGCUGGUCUGAGAGGACGAUCAGCCACACUGGGACUGAGACACGGCCCAGACUCCUACGGGAGGCAGCAGUGGGGAAUCUUGCGCAAUGCGCGAAAGCGUGACGCAGCAACGCCGCGUGGGGGAAGACGGCCUUAGGGUUGUAAACCCCUUUCAGGAGGGACGAAGGUCGGCGCGUUAAUAGCGUGUCCGACUGACGGUACCUCCACAAGAAGCCCCGGCUAACUACGUGCCAGCCGCCGCUGUAA
rnacentral:rRNA from 1 species